rnacentral:lncRNA from 1 species
UGAUGGUUAAUUUCUAUAUGUAUUUAAGGACUCAUGAUUGAUGAAUAAAAUCUAGAGUAUUUUAACAAUAAAUUUCUUGGUUUCCCUUUUCACCGUAAGCAAAAUUAUUCACCUCUAUAAUUAGGACUUAUCAGUGAUAUCAGAGCAAGAUGACAUCAAAAAUUUAAUGCAUUAAGAACCUCCAACACAGUUUGGGUGGAUUACAGGAUUCGGUCAGUUGGCUGGAAGUGGGAAUGGCGGAUAAACUUCAGCUCAUUGAGGAAAAUCUACAGUUCCUCAUAGACAUGGUGAUGUCCAACUACGAAGCCUCUGCCAGCAACUCCAUGGGGCGACUUGAAUAGACCUGAACCAUCAGGGAUGACGAACCCCAAUGCAUAGAAUUAGGUAGAUAGAAUUUCUACUUAAAAGUGACAAAUUAGAAUUCCUAACCUUCAUUGGUAAUGACACAAUGGAGUGAUUUAAUCGGACUGAGUAGUUCUUCAAGUUCUAAGGGACCACUGACAACAACAAAGUGACCCUGGCUUUUUUUCCAC